rnacentral:rRNA from 1 species
GACGAACGCUGGCGGCGUGCUUAACACAUGCAAGUCGAACGGAAAGGCCCUGCUUUUGUGGGGUGCUCGAGUGGCGAACGGGUGAGUAACACGUGAGUAACCUGCCCUUGACUUUGGGAUAACUUCAGGAAACUGGGGCUAAUACCGGAUAGGAGCUCCUGCUGCAUGGUGGGGGUUGGAAAGUUUCGGCGGUUGGGGAUGGACUCGCGGCUUAUCAGCUUGUUGGUGGGGUAGUGGCUUACCAAGGCUUUGACGGGUAGCCGGCCUGAGAGGGUGACCGGCCACAUUGGGACUGAGAUACGGCCCAGACUCCUAGGGGGGGCAGCAGUGGGGAAUAUUGCACAAUGGGCGGAAGCCUGAUGCAGCAACGCCGCGUGCGGGAUGACGGCCUUCGGGUUAUAAACCGCUUUCGCCUGUGACGAAGCGUGAGUGACGGUAAGGGGUAAAGAAGCACCGGCUAACUACGUG